GGAGACUGGAGGAUGGCUGCAUGAUUCAUAACCCUUCCACUGGCAUGGAGGGUACAAAAGGCUCAUGGGCUCAAUUUUGAAGGGCUGGUUUUGGGAGAGGGCUAUUGGUGUACUGAGACUCUGACAUUCUCCCAUGGGGGAUGAGGCACUUCUGCCAUUCCUCAAGUCAAGAGAGAGGCGAUUUAAGGAGAAGGCAAAAACUUAAUAUGGAGUUCUGAUGGUUUGGUGAGCAUCACAGUGCAGGUGGGCCGUACACAAUCAGCUGAAUGUGCAAAUAGAGCAAAAAGACCAAAUUUCCUGAGCAAGAGAGAAUUCUUCAGCAGAUGCCCUUGGAUUUUAUUACAUCACCAGCUCUCUUGGGUCUCCAGCCUGUGGAUACACACUACAGAUUUGGGACUUGCCGGCCUCCAUAAUCACAUGAGAACCAUAUCUACAAGGAACAUCAUUUCCAUGCCUACCCCAAGGGGUGUAGCCAGUGAAAGCAGUAUCUCCUGGCAGUGGAUUAAUUGGGAGAUGCAUAUAGCUUCAGAAGCAGAUGCUGAGCCUCAAAUCUGCUAGGAUUGUCCUGAAUGAGAGUCUUAUCUCCUGCAGAGAAAGAGCUGAAAUUGUUGAAAAACAGACACAAGUUCUUAUCAUCAGCAUGAAAGAAACAGAAUGAAGGUGGACACAAGCAAAGCUCUGUCAGAUUUCAUCUACCAUCAAAAUCUCAACUUCUAUAGAUCAGAAGAUGUUUGCUCUAGCCCAGUACUUCAUAUUCCAGGCUGAGAUGCCUCCCAAUAGUGCAUACAUGAAAAUUCUGCUCCACCUGGACAGGUUGAGUGAAAAAUCUCAGCUAGUCUAAAGAAUACUGAGGAUCCUUUAAAGAAGUUUGGGGAGAAAUCCAGGCAGGUGAGAGAUGAGGAUCCAGUUUUAUUCUCUGGCCUGGUGUUUGCUUCAGCUCAAGAGUUCAAGACCAGCCUGGGCAACAUGGUGAAACUCCAUAUCUCCCUCACCCCAGCAAAAAAAAGUUUACUCCUGCCAACGUGUCCUUGGCACAUUUUCCAGACUCUAACGUCUGCUCUGCCUCAGUAGUGAGUAUACAAUCAUUUUCCUUAGAAAUUUAUGAAAAUCACUUCUGUUCUCCUGGUUCCAUUUCUCGAUCUUUUUUUCUGUUGUUGGUUUACACUAUAUUCUUUUAUGAACAUUUCAAAUCCUUAGGAGGCAAGGGAUAUAAAUCUGUUUUCCGACUACCAUCGUAACCUGUAAAUCUCCUGUAAGUUUUAUAAAAAUUAUGUAAUACUGGUAAAAUCAUACUAUUAACAAUCCAAGUGAAACCAUUUACUAUACUUUUCCUUACAUUAAAAAUUAUAAUCUGUAUUUUUAAAGAUAAUGAGGCACAUUGAGUAGAAUGCUUAACACCUGUCACUUUUAUGUAAUCUCUCAUUCAACAUUUUAUUCAUUUUCUUAGUUCAUUCUGCGGUCUAAAAUGGAAAACAGCUGGCCACCUAUAGGAAAAAGGAUAUGAAAUAAAUAAAAUGUUUGUUUUGUAAUUUUGAUGGUUAUAUGCCCUAAAAGAGGUGCAUGGGUCAAAGACGUUUCAAUACAUAAUGCAGACACUGUGGAAUAGGACCAGCCCAAUGCCAAUAGCAUCUCUUCUGUCAGCUAAUAUGUUCAACUUGCUACAAUACAAAAUCAUUUAUGCCUGUGUUUGUCUUCUGUUUACUUUGGUGAUGAAAGGAUUCCUGCCUUAUAGCUAAAUAUAGUACACCCAACACUGGACAAAGGAGAUCAAUGGCAGUUUUAGUCAAUGUACUCACAGCCAGGGGAGGAGGACACUGUAUACUACAUAGGGCCACACAGGGGUUACCUUUGGGAACAGAGUGAACCAACCAGGAGUUGUGGCAUGCAAGAUUCUUAGUAACAAUAGGGUGGAGUGUCCUUUUGUUCCCAUGGGAUGAUCACAUUGGCUUCUUGGAAUAAUUCUGUAGGCUGGCAGGAAAGUGAAACUUGCUACUCAGGGAUAAGCAGAAAUUGUGCCUGGUCUGUUUAAUAAGGAGUGUUAUUUGGCUAGUUGGCUAGUAGAACUUAUCCAUGGGAGUAGAGUGGGGAGGAAACUUGCACUUGAGCCAUUUGAAGCCCUCUUGAUCUCACCAUAUGUCAUGGUAACACAUAGUAUUGGAUCUUAAUUUGAGGCCUUGACCUACACUGGGUACCAUAUGUGAAUAGUUUUUAGAGGAGAACAUUGAGUCUGAUAUAUGCUUGUUCACUUCCCCCCAGUACUUAGACUUACCAGGAUUGUUUUCUGCAUAGGCAUAGUCUGUACAUUCUCGAGAAAUCUACCAUCUCUAGAGUUUGACCUGGUCAAGAAGUCUGGUUUUCUAAAAUCUGUAGAAAAUAUUUUCUGGACUG